rnacentral:rRNA from 1 species
GACGAACGCUGGCGGCGUGCUUAACACAUGCAAGUCGAACGGAAAGGCGCUGCUCUUGCGGGGUGCUCGAGUGGCGAACGGGUGAGUAACACGCGAGUAACCUGCCCUUGACUUUGGGAUAACUUCAGGAAACUGGGGCUAAUACCGGAUAGGAGAUCCUGCUGCAUGGGGGGGGUUGGAAAGUUGCGGCGGUUGGGGAUGGACUAGAGGCUUAUCAGCUUGUUGGUGGGGUAGUGGCUUACCAAGGCUUUGACGGGUAGUCGGCCUGAGAGGGUGACCGGCCACAUUGGGACUGAGGUACGGCCCAGUCUCCUACGUGAGGCAACGGUGGAGAAUAUGACACAAUGGGCGGGAGCCAGAUGCAGCGGCGCCGCGUGCGGGAUGACGGCCUUCGGGUUGUAAACCGAUUUCUCCUGUGACGAAGCGUGAGUGACGGUAAUGGGUAAAGAAGCACCGGCUAACUACGUG